CUUAGGGUGACCAAACCCUUAAUACAUUUAUACAAACAAAGCUGCUUUAAAAACGGAGAAGCAUCGAUGGAGGCGUUGGAGCUGGAGCUGGAAGAAGUGGAAUCCCAGAUCCGCGCGCUGGUGGUA